rnacentral:rRNA from 1 species
GCUCAGAAACUUAAAGGAAUUGACGGGGCCCGCACAAGCGGAGGAACAUGUGGUUUAAUUCGAUGAUACGCGAGGAACCUUACCCGGGCUUGAAAUGCAUCUGACCGGCCUUGAAAGAGGCACUCCCUUCGGGGCAGAUGUGUAGGUGCUGCAUGGUUGUCGUCAGCUCGUGCCGUGAGGUGUCGGCUAAGUGCCAUAACGAGCGCAACCCUCAUCAUUAGUUACCAUCAGGUAAGGCUGGGGACUCUAAUGAGACUGCCAUCGUAAGAUGUGAGGAAGGUGGGGAUGACGUCAAAUCAGCACGGCCCUUACGUCCGGGGCGACACACGUGUUACAAUGGGUGGUACAAAGGGCAGCUACCUGGCGACAGGAUGCUAAUCUCGAAAACCGCUCUCAGUUCGGAUCGGAGUCUGCAACUCGACUCCGUGAAGCUGGAUUCGCUAGUAAUCGCGCAUCAGCCACGGCGCGGUGAAUACGUUCCCGGGCCUU